rnacentral:lncRNA from 1 species
UUCUUCUUUGGUUCUUUCUUCCAAUUUACAUGCUACUUGUGCUCGCGGUAACAGUUCAUUCUUCUGUAGUUUUUUCUUCUACAGUUCGUUUUUAUUUCGAUUUUCUCAUUGGUUAGGGUUCAUGGUGACCUAAGUAGAGUUGAUCAUUCUCUUGUAAUUGCUUUUGUCACUAUGUUUGGACUAAUAUGCAUAUCUCUAUAUAUCACACCAUGCAUCUAUGACCUCCCUGUACCUCAAAUCAACUCAUAUGUAAUCAUACUCCUUGCCUUUUCUCCAAUAAACAAUUUUGUAGACUCUAUUUGACUAUUUUUAUAAUUAUAUACAUAUAUAUUCCCAUGGACAAUAUAUAUUGUUAUGAGCGUGGACAAUGCAUACUGGUGUUGUUGCCAUUAAUCAAAUCAGUCUUUAAUAAGAUGUUUGGUUUGGUGGAGAAUUAGAUUUAAAUCGAAGUUGGUUUAUAUAAAGGAAAUAAAAAAAAUCGAAGUUGUUCCUACCGACCAUGUUGUUUUUCCCUGUUUCUUUUUUCUUUUAUAAAUUAUCAUUUUCCACAUUUUUUAAUCUACUUUUUCUUAAAAAAUACUCAAAACUGUAACAAUAUUUGUGUAUUGAAGUUGCUGAAAUUUGUAUCAUUCUUAUAGGUAACCUUUUUUCUUCCUUUCUCUCAUGUUUGUUCUGUUAAAGUUUUCAUGAUUUAUCUUGAGAAAUGAAGUUGCUUGCUAAGUGUUUGAGCUACAUUUCUAAGGUUGAAAUAUUGAGUACUAGUUGAUUUCUAAUGUACCCUUAAACAAUAUCCAUCAUAAUUUUAAAAUGAUAGGGCAAUUUGUGAUGCUUUACUUUUUUUAAUUUGUUUAUAGCAGUGUAUUUGUAAAGGAGCUAGUUAGUAUACUUUGAAUGUUUUGGAAGGAAAUUUUAUUGAAGUUUUUUAUCAAAUCUUUGGAGUCAUUAUUUAUGACAAUAAUCAUGCUCUUCCAGAGUCUGAAGAUGUAGAGUAACAGCUCUGAAGAUGUAGAGUAACAGCUGUGUUUUCAGGUGGAAAACAAAUAUGGCUUAACAGUUCUUAUUUGUUUGCAGAUCACAACCAUAAUCAAUUCAGAAUAGAAGAAUAGUGCUUUGAGGUGAGUGUUCAAACUAUUUUGUUAAAGAAAUCAGCAAAUGAAAUGUUAUGGUAAACAUUGAAAGCAAAGUUGAAAGUUGAAUGUUAUAAUAAAAGGGCAUUCUUUUCUUAUUUUAUUAUUAUUGAUAACAGUUCUUACACAGGACAAGUUAUUUUCUAUCAAAUAUUCUAACAAUACUAUACUGCUUAUAGGUCCAAACUAUCAAUUCUGUGUGAUGCUGAGGUUGCUCUCAGGUACCAUUAUUUCUCCUCCUUCAACUUUCCCUUUUCUUCUUCUUAAAUUAAUGUGUGAAUGCUUAUGCUUCCUGUAAUUUUAGCACCCCUCUUGCAACCAAGACUAGUUCCUUUAAUAUGUGACCUUGUAAAUUUCAUGCAUACCUAUAAAAUUUCACUUGUAAUGAUCCGUGUGAAAAGGUUAUUCAUAAUUUUGUGUAGGUUUAUGUGCAUGAUGUGACUACUGUUAGUUCCCUGGAAUAUAUGUAGCUGAAGGUAAUUGAGACUUUAUGAAAUUAUCAUUAAUUUAAAAUGUGUUAUCAAGGAUUGAAAUUGACCACAGUGUGCGUGUGACAAUUCCUAGAAAAGAAUUAUGAAUAAGAAAUGAGUGAAUGUUAAAGAAUAAAGAGGCAUAAUGUUAGCAGUAAUUAUCUAGUGUUGUGCAGGUUGUUAGAAUUCACAUAUUCAGAUAUUCAGAUAUUCAGAUAUAAAAUUAGAAUGAUUAGAAUUCACAUAUUCAGAUUGUUAGGUCUAAGUUAAUAUAACUGUUUCCAAAGGUAAUAAAAUGAUUAGCAGCUGCAGUUGAUGAGGGAAAUUGCAUCAUGUCUUUGCUAUUCUCAUCACUUUGCAUCAUGGAAAUUAGAGGUGUGCUAAAGGAGAAAAAUCUCAUUCUUAUUAUUCUCAUUCAUACCCUUUUACAGUAGUUUCUUAAUUUUAUUCUUUUCUUCACAUGUAUAAGUUUUAUCUUAAACUAUUCUUCUCCUUUUAUGCAUGAAACAUGUCUCCAAGUAACAUUAUUAUACUUUGUUUCAGAUCUAGAACAACCUAUUUGCUCGAUUACUGGUUUGCCUGCCAAGUAAGAUCUCUUUUAUCAACUUGGUAGUUCUUGCAUUUUUCUUUUCUAAUGUUGCAGUUCUUGGUUAAAAUUGUCUUUGGAUAGCUUGUAUUCUUGUUAUUUAUGUUAUUAGUACUUGAGUAUUUUUUUGGGAUGGGAAGUUUGGAUAUGCUUUCCUUGCAUAGAACAAUCGGUUUUAUGUUAUCUACUGUUAAGGAAUUCUUUAGUCUAUUUCCACUAUACCCACAUAUUGUUAAGGAAUUCUCUCUGGAAUAAUAUAGGUAUCGUGAUCCAAAGACUGGCCUGCCAUAUAACUCUUUUCCUUGUAUUAACUAAUUCUGUUUUAGUCCACUUAUUGCACAUCACUCAUAAUGCCAUUUGUAUGUACUUCAACCAUACUUUAUUUUUUUGGUCCAUAAUUGUUCUUUUGUGGGUUUGGAACUUGAUCUUGAGCAUUAUGUAUAUGCAGCUAACUUGACAGAGAAUCCAAGGUCACCGGUUAGUGGGUCUGGCAGCAAUUCAUCUCCCCAUCAAGGUUUUACUUUCAAAACUGCAUUCUGUAAUUAUGAUAAUUGACUAAUUAAAAACAUAAAUUGGUCCAUUGAUCCCUUUACUAAAUUUUUGCUGCUUACUUUCAACCUGUUCAUUUUUUCACCAUGAAUCCUCACUUUUUUUUGUAAUGUAUCUGCAAUUGGAUGUACAUAAGAAUUUAAUUGGUUCAAGAUUAAACAUGUCUUCUGCGCUUCGUAUUUUUAUAUUAGGUGAUAACAUGAUUGUACUUAUUCAUAAUAACUAAUUAGACUUACAGACAAGGUAAAGAAUCAUCAAAUUUUUUUCUACAGGUUUUAUUGCUAAUAAAUAUUUUAUGUAUUUUUUCUUAUUGUUUUCAUUUGUUUCUCAUUUUUUUUAG